rnacentral:pre_miRNA from 1 species
AUCACCUGGGGAUCUUCUUAAAAUGCAGAUUCUGAUUCAGUAGGUCAGCUGGGGUCUAAGACUCUGUAUUUCUAACAAGAUCCCAGGUGAGGCUGC